GCGGCGCUGAGGUCAUCGCUCGCUGUCGUCAGUGCUAGGAACCUGCGCCCGGCUGAGCUGAGCGAGGCGAGAGGAGAAAGCGAGGCCCGGGGACGGGACUGAGAGCUCUGAAAGGAGGGAGGCGGCUCCCGAGUACUCCGCGCGGGGCAGGCCCCGGCCUCGCCUCUUCGCCCAUUUUUAAGGCUCGAGUUAGAGGCCACCUCCUCCGAGAAGCCUUCGGUGACACCACCUCUCCCAGACGGUUCCCCUUUCUGAUUCCCACAGCAUUUUCCAACCAUUCACGGUCAGAACCACUCACCAGGACGUGUUGUCACCAUUUUACCGCUUUGCCUCGUCUCUUAACUAGACGAAAUGGGUUCCUUUUGGCUCUUUGGAAAGGGAGGCUGUCUUCUAUUUAUUUCCGUGGUAAUCCCACCUCCCACAACAAGUUCCAUUCUACAGCAAUGUCUUUUCUCUUGCUGAGAACCAUUCAAGUCUAAGUUUUCUGGGACCGCCACCAUCACAGGCACUCGGUAGAUGUCUGCUGAAUGAGGAUAACUUCUACCCAACACCGUGAAGCCUGGCCCAGGGUCUGGCAUACAGAUGCCGUGUUUGUAAGUCCUGGUUGCUCAUCUCGCCCACUUGCACAGCCCACCUGUGUGGCCGACUCAGGAUUGACCCACCUGCUCUCUUCAGGCCAUAUUCCCACGCAGAAGUGGGUCCCACUCCUCAGGCCUCUGUGCUGGCCCCGUCUGUGGGGUUAGCAAGCAGCCCUGCUCUCCAUUUCCAGCUCAGAAGCAACUGGAUCGUUACCUCAUUGGUGACAACUUGACUGUGCUGCCCAGAGCUGAUAAGAAACAUCACCCGGGGAAGACCAGCUGCCUCUUCCUUGCUUCCUAAUCAGGGUGGAAAUACUGCUAAAUAUAUCACAACUCUUUGCAAGCAUCGUUGGGUAAUGAUCGGGACAUCUUUGUGGGUUCCCUAUCAUUUUCUCACAAAGUUGAGCCUUUCAAGGUCAGUUCUAGGCCAGCCAGUCUGGGAGUCAUUCUUUAGAAUCAGAAGAGAAUUUAAGAAGAGGAGAAGAUAAGAUUGUCUCUAAAACCUGCUAAUGAGAACUACAGGAAGGUGGGGAUGCUAGCUACUUUUAAUAUUUCUGGUUUGAACCCCUUCCUCCACCCCAGAAUGAACUGAGAGUAGGUACAGAAAUAGAUAAUGCAAAGACGGUUAGGGUUGAGGGUAAGCAGAAAACUACCCAUCUAGACCGAAGGAAGGCUUGCUAACAUAUCAGUAAGCAAACAGCUUUCUAAUCUGCAGGUAACAAGUUUUACAUCCCUGAGGACACUUUUUGAGAUAGGACUUUGUUUGUUUGUUUGUUUGUUGUUUUUUGUUUUUUUGAGACAGAGUCUCGCUCUGUCUCCCAGGCUGGAGUGCAGUGGCAUGGUCUCGGCUCACUGCAACCUUCACCUCCCAGGAUCAAACGAUUCUCCUGCCUCAGCCUCCUGAAUAGCUGGGAUUACAGGUGCAUGCCACCAUGUCCAGCUAUUUUUGUGUGUGUGUGUGUGUGUGUGUGUGUGUGUGUAUUUUUAGUAGAGAUGGGGUUUCAUCAUGUUGGUCAGGCUGGUCUGAAACUCCUGACCUCGUGAUCUGCCCUCCUCAGCCUCCCAAAGUGCUGGGAUUAUAGGCGUGAGCCACCGGGCCCAGCCUGGGGCUUUUUGAGACCCUAUUGAAGGCUGAGGAAGAAUCUGGAAGCUAAAGAGUAACCCAUUCCACCACCUGCUCUGAAGAUAGAAGAAGCAAAAAAAGAUUAAAUUGUACAAAAAGCACUUAAAUUAGACAACAGAAGAAUUUCCUGAUACAAAGUGGGUGUCUAAGAUGUGUUAAACAAGAUGCCUGCUCCAGCCAGGACUCAGACACUCCUGGAUGGAGAGCAUCUUCACAGUUUGGGAUAAAAGUGACUAUACAGAGUGGUGGAGUGAAGGCUGCAGGCCCCUCCCCAAGGUGGCAUCUAACCCCGGAGGUAUCAGGACCUCAGAGGCUACCCACAUGAUUUCCAGCUGAUGAGCAGAAAUAGCUGUGGCAGGUGCAGGCUUCACUUGCUGCCACCAACAUGGGAGCUCACCAAACACCCAGUGGCCAAAAGAACCAGGGUCUCUCUAAGCCCUGGGCUCACCGCCAGGCAAGCUUGGGUGCUUGGGAGGGCCGUCGUUCUUCACAGUGCAGCCCCUGGAUUUCUUCUCAAUUUACUCAACUCUCUCUCUUGAAUCCCAUCUGUGCAGCUUAGAAGUCACAAAUUAGAACCCCCCAAGGCAAAGCUGACCAUAGAUACAAAUGGUUUUGUCUGUAUAGUGUUUAAGCACUUAAAAAAUUCAUUGUGAACAUUUAAUAAUUAGAAAGUGUCAAAAUGAAAAUAUCUAUAGUUUCUCUCUAAAAACCAGAAGAUCUGUUAACACUGAUCCCACACUUCUAUUUGGCAAUGACUGGCCCCUAAGACAGGGGGUAUGUCCUCUAGCUCACCACAGUCUCCACCUUUACCUACUGCAUCCCUGCUGAGACAAAGUGGUACAUGCCAUUUAUUAAGGAUGAAUGCUGUUUUUUUUAAUUAUACUUAAUCCUCAUUUGCAUUACCUGCCUUCAUUCUGGAGGUAUUUGAGUUUGCAUCUCCUGAUAAAGAAUAAA
rnacentral:lncRNA from 1 species